rnacentral:rRNA from 1 species
CUACGUGCCAGCAGCCGCGGUAAUACGUAGGGCGCAAGCGUUAUCCGGAAAUUAUUGGGCGUAAAGAGCUCGUAGGCGGUUUGUCGCGUCUGCUGUGAAAUCCCGAGGCUCAACCUCGGGCCUGCAGUGGGUACGGGCAGACUAGAGUGCGGUAGGGGAGAUUGGAAUUCCUGGUGUAGCGGUGGAAUGCGCAGAUAUCAGGAGGAACACCGAUGGCGAAGGCAGAUCUCUGGGCCGUAACUGACGCUGAGGAGCGAAAGGGUGGGGAGCAAACAGGCUUAGAUACCCUGGUAGUCCACCCCGUAAACGUUGGGAACUAGUUGUGGGGACCAUUCCACGGUUUCCGUGACGCAGCUAACGCAUUAAGUUCCCCGCCUGGGGAGUACGGCCGCAAGGCUAAAACUCAAAGGAAUUGACGGGGACCCGCACAAGCGGCGGAGCAUGCGGAUUAAUUCGAUGCAACGCGAAGAACCUUACCAAGGCUUGACAUACACCAGAACGGGCCAGAAAUGGUCAACUCUUUGGACACUGGUGAACAGGUGGUGCAUGGUUGUCGUCAGCUCGUGUCGUGAGAUGUUGGGUUAAGUCCCGCAACGAGCGCAACCCUCGUUCUAUGUUGCCAGCACGUAAUGGUGGGAACUCAUGGGAUACUGCCGGGGUCAACUCGGAGGAAGGUGGGGAUGACGUCAAAUCAUCAUGCCCCUUAUGUCUUGGGCUUCACGCAUGCUACAAUGGCCGGUACAAAGGGCUGCAAUACCGUGAGGUGGAGCGAAUCCCAAAAAGCCGGUCCCAGUUCGGAUUGAGGUCUGCAACUCGACCUCAUGAAGUCGGAGUCGCUAGUAAUCGCAGAUCAGCAACGCUGCGGUGAAUACGUUCCCGGGUCUUGUACACACCGCCCGUCAAGUCAUGAAAGUCGGUAACACCUGAAGCCGGUGGCCCAACCCUUGUGGAGGGAGCC